rnacentral:rRNA from 1 species
GACGAACCCUUUCGGCGUGCUUAACACAUGCAAGUCGAACGGAAAGGCCCUGCUUUUGUGGGGUGCUCGAGUGGCGAACGGGUGAGUAACACGUGAGUAACCUGCCCUUGACUUUGGGAUAACUUCAGGAAACUGGGGCUAAUACCGGAUAGGAGCUCCUGCUGCAUGGUGGGGGUUGGAAAGUUUCGGCGGUUGGGGAUGGACUCGCGGCUUAUCAGCUUGUUGGUGGGGUAGUGGCUUACCAAGGCUUUGACGGGUAGCCGGCCUGAGAGGGUGACCGGCCACAUUGGGACUGAGAUACGGCCCAGACUCCUACGGGAGGCAGCAGUGGGGAAUAUUGCACAAUGGGCGGAAGCCUGAUGCAGCAACGCCGCGUGCGGGAUGACGGCCUUCGGGUUGUAAACCGCUUUCGCCUGUGACGAAGCGUGAGUGACGGUAAUGGGUAAAGAAGCACCGGCUAACUACGUGCCAGCAGCCGCGGUGAUACGUAGGGUGCGAGCGUUGUCCGGAUUUAUUGGGCGUAAAGGGCUCGUAGGUGGUUGAUCGCGUCGGAAGUGUAAUCUUGGGGCUUAACCCUGAGCGUGCUUUCGAUACGGGUUGACUUGAGGAAGGUAGGGGAGAAUGGAAUUCCUGGUGGAGCGGUGGAAUGCGCAGAUAUCAGGAGGAACACCAGUGGCGAAGGCGGUUCUCUGGGCCUUUCCUGACGCUGAGGAGCGAAAGCGUGGGGAGCGAACAGGCUUAGAUACCCUGGUAGUCCACGCUGUAAACGGUGGGUACUAGGUGUGGGGUCCAUUCCACGGGUUCCGUGCCGUAGCUAACGCUUUAAGUACCCCGCCUGGGGAGUACGGCCGCAAGGCUAAAACUCAAAGGAAUUGACGGGGCCCCGCACAAGCGGCGGAGCAUGCGGAUUAAUUCGAUGCAACGCGUAGAACCUUACCUGGGUUUGACAUGGAUCGGGAGUGCUCAGAGAUGGGUGUGCCUCUUUUGGGGUCGGUUCACAGGUGGUGCAUGCCUGUCGUCAGCUCGUGUCGUGAGAUGUUGGGUUAAGUCCCGCAACGAGCGCAACCCUUGUUCACUGUUGCCAGCACGUUAUGGUGGGGACUCAGUGGAGACCGCCGGGGUCAACUCGGAGGAAGGUGGGGAUGACGUCAAGUCCUCAUGCCCCUUAUGUCCAGGGCUUCACGCAUGCUACAAUGGCUGGUACAGAGAGUGGCGAGCCUGUGAGGGUGAGCGAAUCUCGGAAAGCCGGUCUCAGUUCGGAUUGGGGUCUGCAACUCGACCUCAUGAAGUCGGAGUCGCUAGUAAUCGCAGAUCAGCAACGCUGCGGUGAAUACGUUCCCGGGGCU